UACAGAGGGUGCAAGCGUUAAUCGGAAUUACUGGGCGUAAAGCGUGCGUAGACGGUUAUGUAAGUCAGAUGUGAAAGCCCCGGGCUCAACCUGGGAAUUGCAUUUGAGACUGCGUAGCUAGGGUGCGGAAGAGGGAAGCGGAAUUUCCGGUGUAGCGGUGAAAUGCGUAGAUAUCGGAAGGAACACCAGUGGCGAAAGCGGCUUCCUGGCCCAGCACCGACGUUCAGGCACGAAGGCCAGGGGAGCAAACAGG
rnacentral:rRNA from 1 species